rnacentral:rRNA from 1 species
CUACAAUGGCCGGUACAAAGAGAAGCGAGGCUGUGAAGCGGAGCAAAUCUCAAAAACCGGUCCCAGUUCGGAUUGUAGGCUGCAACUCGCCUACAUGAAGUCGGAGUUGCUAGUAAUCGCGGAUCAGAAUGCCGCGGUGAAUGCGUUCCCGGGUCUUGUACACACCGCCCGUCACACCAUGGAAGUUGGGGCGCCCGAAGUUGCCUAAGAAAUAAGGUACCUAAGGCGAAACCAAUGACUGGGGUGAAGUCGUAACAAGGUAAC